GGAAGGCACUCUUUCUGGUCUCUCCUCUAUGGAGUCUUUUUGUGAACCUAAAUCUUCGGCUACAGAUGUCACCACUGUCAUAGAAGGCUACCAGAUUGGUCAGGAUUGUUCUGCCUUUAGUGAAGCCAUCCUGGUUAUCUCGGAUCACCUCUUCAUCUCGCAUGUGCCUCAACAUCUCUUCCAAGAGGAUCUACUUCAUUAUCUUUCCAGGUACAGAGUCACCAGAGACUUCACCUAACAGCCACAAUAUUUCAAAUAUGAUGGAGAGCAGCUUGGUAACCACAUCAACCAGUUUCUUCUGAACGCUGGGAUGUGUGUCAUCUGGCCCCAUAGACUCACAUGCAUUCAGAGGUGAUGUUGGACUUGCUCCAAGUUUACAGGGGGAGAGAUAUUGGUCCCCUGACCUAUAGGAGUCAGAAGUUCAAGGAUGUGAGAGGCACAGGAAGCCUGACUGCUAUUGAAGGCUGGAGCAAAGAAUUCAUUGAACUCAGCCUUUGCCUUGUUUGUUGAAGUCAAUUCUCACUUCUCCCCCUUCAGAGGGGGUAUACUUGCUGUGUAAGAGUGUGAGAUCUUUAAUGUAUGCGCACUGUGCUAAGACAACAAAGUAGUAGAUCUGAGCUGAAAA